rnacentral:rRNA from 1 species
UGCAGUCGAGCGGACAGAUGGGAGCUUGCUCCCUGAUGUUAGCGGCGGACGGGUGAGUAACACGUGGGUAACCUGCCUGUAAGACUGGGAUAACUCCGGGAAACCGGGGCUAAUACCGGAUGGUUGUUUGAACCGCAUGGUUCAAACAUAAAAGGUGGCUUCGGCUACCACUUACAGAUGGACCCGCGGCGCAUUAGCUAGUUGGUGAGGUAACGGCUCACCAAGGCAACGAUGCGUAGCCGACCUGAGAGGGUGAUCGGCCACACUGGGACUGAGACACGGCCCAGACUCCUACGGGAGGCAGCAGUAGGGAAUCUUCCGCAAUGGACGAAAGUCUGACGGAGCAACGCCGCGUGAGUGAUGAAGGUUUUCGGAUCGUAAAGCUCUGUUGUUAGGGAAGAACAAGUACCGUUCGAAUAGGGCGGUACCUUGACGGUACCUAACCAGAAAGCCACGGCUAACUACGUGCCAGCAGCCGCGGUAAUACGUAGGUGGCAAGCGUUGUCCGGAAUUAUUGGGCGUAAAGGGCUCGCAGGCGGUUUCUUAAGUCUGAUGUGAAAGCCCCCGGCUCAACCGGGGAGGGUCAUUGGAAACUGGGGAACUUGAGUGCAGAAGAGGAGAGUGGAAUUCCACGUGUAGCGGUGAAAUGCGUAGAGAUGUGGAGGAACACCAGUGGCGAAGGCGACUCUCUGGUCUGUAACUGACGCUGAGGAGCGAAAGCGUGGGGAGCGAACAGGAUUAGAUACCCUGGUAGUCCACGCCGUAAACGAUGAGUGCUA